UGUGAUGAUGAACUUGCCCUUCACUGAGCUGUGAUGAGACCCAGGGCACACUGAUUC
rnacentral:snoRNA from 1 species